rnacentral:rRNA from 1 species
GACGAACGCUGGCGGCGUGCUUAACACAUGCAAGUCGAACGGAAAGGCCCUGCUUUUGUGGGGUGCUCGAGUGGCGAACGGGUGAGUAACACGUGAGUAACCUGCCCUUGACUUUGGGAUAACUUCAGGAAACUGGGGCUAAUACCGGAUAGGAGCUCCUGCUGCAUGGUGGGGGUUGGAAAGUUUCGUCGGUUGGGGAUGGACUCGCGGCUUAUCAGCUUGUUGGUGGGGUAGUGGCUUACCAAGGCUUUGACGGGUAGCCGGCCUGAGAGGGUGACCGGCCACAUUGGGACUGAGAUACGGCCCAGACUCCUACGGGAGGCAGCAGUGGGGAAUAUUGCACAAUGGGCGGAAGCCUGAUGCAGCAACGCCGCGUGCGGGAUGAAGGCCUUCGGGUUGUAAACCGCUUUCGCCUGUGACGAAGCGUGAGUGACGGUAAUGGGUAAAGAAGCACCGGCUAACUACGUG